AUAGGUUUGGUCCUGGCCUUUCUAUUAGCUGUUAAUAAACUUACACAUGCAAGAAUCCCCGCUCCAGUGAAAACGCCCUUCAAACCUGUUCAACGGUAAAAAGGAGCUGGUAUCAAGCACACUAAAAGUAGCUCAAGACGCCUCGCAAAGCCACGCCCCCACGGGAGACAGCAGUGACAAAAAUUAAGCAAUAAAUGAAAGUCUGACUAAGUUAUGUUAUUGAGGACUGGUUAAUUUCGUGCCAGCCAUGCGCUGCAAGUUUUUGGCGCUGCUAAAGAAUUCGGCGUAAAGAGUGGGAGAAAGCCAUAGUAUUAAUAAAGCCAAUACUAACUAGGCUGUAAAAAGCUCUAGCUAUAAUAAGAUAUGAAACGAAAGUAGCUUUAAAGAAUCUGAACACACGAUAGCUAGGACCCAAACUGGGAUUAGAUACCCCACUAUGCUUAGCCUUAAACAUAAAAAAUUAUAAACAAAAUUAUUCGCCAGAGUACUACCAGCAAAAGCUAGAAACUCAAAGGACUUGGCGGUGCCUUAUAUCCUUCUAGAGGAGCCUGUUCCAUAAUCGAUAAACCCCGAUCUACCUUACCAAUCUUUGCCUAAUCAGCCUAUAUACCGCCAUCUUCAGCAAACCCUAAAAAGGAAGCAUAGUAAGCGCAAAUACUAGCAUAAAGACGUUAGGUCAAGGUGUAGCCUAUAGAUUGGAGAGAAAUGGGCUACAUUCUCCAAAUCGGAGUAGUACCCACGAAAACUUAUGUGAAAGCCAAAGUUAAAGGUGGAUUUAGCAGUAAACUAAGAAUAGAGUGCUUAGUUGAAUAAGGCCAUGAGGCACGCACACACCGCCCGUCACCCUCCUCAAGUAGAAAAUACCAGUUAUUAUCUAAAACAAAUGGCAUUAACUUAUGAGAGGAGAUAAGUCGUAACAAGGUAAGUGUACUGGAAAGUGCGCUUGGACAACU
rnacentral:ncRNA from 1 species